AAUGAACGUUGGCGGCGUGGAUUAGGCAUGCAAGUCGAGCGAGAACCCGCAAGGGGGACAGCGGCGAACGGGGUAGGACAACGUAGGUAACGUACCCUCGGGGCGAGGACAGCCACGGGAAACUGUGGGUAAUACUCGAUAAACUUCCCAAUCAUUAUGGAAGGGGAAGCAAUGGGUGUGAUUCCACCUGAGGAGCGGCUUACGCAGUAUCAGCUAGUUGGUGAGGUAACGGCUCACCAAGGCUACGACGCUUAGGGGGUGUGAGAGCAUGGCCCCCACCACUGGCACUGAGACACUGGCCAGACACCUACGGGUGGCUGCAGUCGAGAAUCUUCGGCAAUGGACGCAAGUCUGACCGAGCGACGCCGCGUGCGGGAUGAAGGCCUCGGUGUAACGACUGUCAGAGGGAGUGAAGUAUACGGAGUAUCUCCUCGUAUUUGUACAGAGCCGUCAGAGGAAGGACA
rnacentral:rRNA from 1 species